GCCUGGGUGGCUCAGUUGAUUGAGUGUCUGACUUCAGCUCAGGUCAUGAUCUCACUGCUUGUGGGUUCGAGCCCUGCGUUGGGCU
rnacentral:tRNA from 1 species